AUACGGAGGGUGCAAGCGUUACUCGGAAUCACUGGGCGUAAAGCGCGCGCAGGCGGUCUUUUAAGUUGGAUGUGAAAGCCUACGGCUCAACCGUAGAACUGCAUCCAAAACUAUUAGACUAGAGUGUGGGAGAGGAAGAUGGAAUUAGUUGUGUAGGGGUAAAAUCCGUAGAGAUAACUAGGAAUACCAAAAGCGAAGGCAAUCUUCUGGAACACUACUGACGCUGAGGCGCGAAAGCGUGGGGAGCAAACAGGAUUAGAAACCCAGUAGUCC
rnacentral:rRNA from 1 species